rnacentral:pre_miRNA from 11 species
AUAUACACACACAUAUAUGUAUAUAUGUGUAUAUAUAUACACACACAUAUAUACAUAUAUGUGUGUGUAUAUU